rnacentral:misc_RNA from 1 species
GAUGAAGAACGUAGCGAAAUGCGAUAAGUAAUGUGAAUUGCAGAAUUCAGUGAAUCAUCGAAUCUUUGAACGCACCUUGCACCCUUUGGUAUUCCGAAGGGUAUGCUCGUUUGAGUGUCAUUGUACUCUCACACUUCUAAUUCCUUUCGGGAUUGGGAGCGGUGGACUUGGGUGUUGCUGCUUUAGUUGUGGCUCACCUCAAAUAAGUUAGUGCAACUCUUGGUUGGACAUAGUACGGCGUGAUAAGUGUCUGCGCCGGCGCCUCUGUAAGGAGGGUGGCCGAUCGGGAGCUCUGUGCUUCAAACCGUCUUCGGACAAUCUUUGACAACUUGACCUCAAAUCGAGUAGGACUACCCGCUGAACUUAAGCAUAUCAAUAAGCGGAGGA